GAAUAUUGGACAAUGGAGGCAACUCUGAUCCAGCCAUGCCGCGUGCAGGAAGACGGCCCUAUGGGUUGUAAACUGCUUUUAUACGGGAAGAACCACAUCUACGUGUAGAUGCUUGACGGUACCGUAUGAAUAAGGACCGGCUAACUCCGUGCCAGCCGCCGCGGUAAUACGGAGGGUCCAAGCGUUAUCCGGAAUCAUUGGGUUUAAAGGGUCCGUAGGCGGAAUAAUAAGUCAGUGGUGAAAGUCUGCAGCUCAACUGUAGAAUUGCCAUUGAUACUGUUGUUCUUGAAUUAUUAUGAAGUGGUUGGAAUGAGUAGUGUAGCGGUGAAAUGCAUAGAUAUUACUCAGAACACCUAUUGCGAAGGCAGAUCACUAAUAAUAUAUUGACGCUGAGGGACGAAAGCGUAGGUAGCGAACAG
rnacentral:rRNA from 1 species